rnacentral:rRNA from 1 species
GAUGAAUGCUGGCGGCGUGCCUAACACAUGCAAGUCGAGCGGUAACAGGAGUAGUUUACUACUUGCUGACGAGCGGCGGACGGCUGAGUAACGCGUGGGAACGUGCCCCAAAGUGAGGAAUAACUGCCCGAAAGGGUGGCUAAUGCCGCAUAUGAUCUUCGGAUUAAAGGAUUUAUCCGCUUUGGGAGCGGCCCGCGUUAGAUUAGGUAGUUGGUAGGGUAAUGGCCUACCAAGCCGACGAUCUAUAGCUGGUCUGAGAGGAUGAUCAGCCAGACUGGGACUGAGACACGGCCCAGACUCCUACGGGAGGCAGCAGUGAGGAAUUUUCCACAAUGGGCGAAAGCCUGAUGGAGCGACGCCGCGUGAAGGAUGAAGGCCUUAGGGUUGUAAACUUCUUUUAUAAGUGAAGAAUAUGACGGUAACUUAUGAAUAAGCACCGGCUAACUACGUGCCAGCCGCCGCCGUAAGAC